AUACGGAGGAUCCAAGCGUUAUCCGGAUUUAUUGGGUUUAAAGGGUGCGCAGGCGGAAGAUUAAGUCGGCGGUGAAAUUUUGCAGCUCAACUGUAAAAGUGCCAUCGAUACUGGUUUUCUUGAGUGUGGAUGAAGUAGGCGGAAUUUGUGGUGUAGCGGUGAAAUGCAUAGAUAUCACGAGGAACUCCGAUUGCGCAGGCAGCUUACUAGGCCAUAACUGACGCUCAGGCACGAAGGCGUGGGGAUCAAACAGGAUUAGAUACCCUGGUAGUCCACGCUGUAAACUAUGAUAACUAUCUUUUAGCGAUACACAGUUAGAGGGUACGAGAAAUCAUUAAGUUAUCCACCUGGGGAUUACGUUCGCAAGAAUGAAACUCAAAUGAAUUGACGGGG
rnacentral:rRNA from 1 species